rnacentral:lncRNA from 1 species
GCCCUUUUUGGAAUGGAGACAGCAGAGAGCAGCUCGUCUGAGUUCAAGAGGGAAAGAUAUGGUGGCCAAGCAUGAGGUGCUCCACAAAGGCCGUGGGGGAUUUGAAGCACGAGGGCACAGGUGCUAAACUACCCCAGAGUCAGCAAGGUCAGCUUCAUUUUACUGAGCUGUCACUCAUACUGAAGGGGCCUGCCCUCCUGUGUCCGGUAUGCAAAGCAUCUUUCCUGGCCACUCCGGUAAUCUUUGCAGCCUCAGCCUCAUCAACUCUGCUUCAUGCUGUUCACUGGACAGUUCGCUUUUGUUGACAGUAUUGGGAAAAGAAGGGAAGAAUGCCACAGAGGCAGGAAGGGGGCUCAUCGAUUCCAGCUUCACUGCCUGGAUUUUCACGGGAUAAAUAGGACUGUUUGGAAGGCUAAUUUACAGGCCCUUUUUAUGGUAAUAAACAUUGUUUAGAAGACAA